CCUAGACCCCGCCCACUUCCGCCUCUCAGUGCGCGGACCUCUUAAGUGGUUGAGGGGUUUUGGCUGCCUUUCCCGAGGCCGUUGGCCGCGCAUGCGUAGUGCGCCGCUUCGAGGACCUGAGGCAGUGGUGAGCGCUCCUUCCCCUAGCAACUCCCAGCAUCGGCACCGCCACCUUGCUAAUGAAUCCUCAAAAUAACGUGAUCUUAAUCAUCUGAAGACGCGCAUCUCUCGCGCCCCAUCCCGAAACACCUUGGCCCAGCUCCAAAACCUUCCAGACGUUUCCCUCCCAGCCCCGCCUCCACAGACUCCUUUGGCUCAGAUAUCCCCUCCCGGAAACACACAUCGCGCCCCUGACGACCCCAACAGACCAUCAGGACCUCCCCCAAGCUUUCCAAGCCUGAGUGCCUCCUAGUUAGCCCUGUCUACCACAAGCUCUGGAAUCCGCGUACUUCCUGCGCCCUCCCACCAGGCCCCUCACGUGUUCUUCCAACCACGCCCCUCACCAGCCCCCGAAGCCCCACCCUUCACAAGGCCCGCAGCCACGCCCUUUACAGGUAUCCUUCCGGACCCCCCCCCCCCCAGCCCGGCCUCGCCUCAGAGGCCCUUCCAGCCCCGCCCAUCGUAGGCCUCUACGGCUCCGCCCCUCGCAAGGCCUCCAGCCCCGCCCCUCGUAAGGCCUAGAGCCCCGCCCCCUCAGCCCUCCAGUCCCGCCGCUUGCUGGGCUCCCCUAGCACAUCUGUUCACAGCACCCGAGCUCCCCGCAGGUCUCCUCGCGGCCUCCUAGCCCCUCCUCCCCAGCCGCCCCUCCCACGGCUUUCUUCUGUGGCCUUGGUCCCUCCCCGGCUGCUGUCCCCAGGCCUCAUUGGUCUCUUAUCUCCCCAGUAACCAGACCACAACACUGAGCUUGGAGUACCCAGGACAGGUCCAGCACUCCGGCAGUUUGUCCUGUUUCAGGUCCUGUGCAGCUGGGGCCCCGUGGAUGGGGAGGCUUUUCAGGACAGCCCUGUGGAGGCGGGGAGCAGAUAGUAGCCCAAGCCUGGGGAGUGGGAUGGCCAGGAAGACUUCCUGUAGGAGGAGACGUUUGAGUGGGGCCCAGAACUGCUCCCAGGAAUUUCCACCAGGAGAAGGAAGGGAAGAGUGAGCAGAAAGAACAGCAUGUGACCAAAGCAAGGUUCUUCCGCCUCCACACCGUUGACACCUGGGGUCAGAACGUUCUUUGCUAUGGGUGGGGGCGUCCUGGGCAUUGGAGGGUACUAGGUGCAUCCCUGCGCCCCCGCCCCCCCCCCCGCUGCACACCAGAAGCACCCGCAAUCCAUGCCUGCACAGUCAAAAAUGUCUCCAGACAUGGCCAAAUGUCCUUAGGGGGUAGAAUUGCUCCUGGUUGAGAACGGCUGGGAGAUGGGGAAAUGGUGGAGAGCCUGGAGCGGUGGGUAGGAUUGGGUUUGUGGGGCCUCGAACACCAGGCUGGGGAGCUGGGACUUUGUCCAGGGUGAGUCCUGGGUCUAGGGCUUCUGUGGCUGUGAGGAAAGGCCGGCAGG
rnacentral:lncRNA from 1 species